CUGUGUGGAGCCCAGGCAAGAACGGCGUAACUGGUACAGAGGAGGCUUUGCGUUUUCAGGAACGCAGUGUCCCGUCUCCAGGAGCUCCGCAGAGUCUCAUCCAUCCCUGGGGAAGGAAGACACCCGGCUGCAAUCACGCACCCCGCAGCCGUCCAGAUCUCAGCUCGUGUCGUCACCCCUGAGGCUGGAACAGUCUCUGAAGAGGGGCUGCACAGUUCCACGGGGGAAACUGUGAAGGAAAACAUAGGCCUGGCCUGUCAGCGGGGGAGUCCCAGAAAACGCUCUGGUCAGUCGGCGCUUGAAGAUAAAACUCAGCCAUAGAAGGUGAUGACAGCAGCCACUGACGAUCAGCACUUAGACCCACUAAUUCAUUAGGAGCUACACAAUG